CGUGGCUGGGCAGGAUGCGCUGCGCGUCCAGGGCAUUGUGGACCAUUGUGUAACAGGAACGGUUCUCUCAGAACUGACUCAGGAAAUGGGUCUGGUGAGCGUCUUUUUUCCUUCUGCAAGGGAUGCUAGGACAUGGGGAACUGUGGGAUACUGGAACUCCCUGUGCUGGCUUUGGCAUGGAUAUUCUCCGGGUCCAGACUGAAAAUACUCCUUCAGGUUGGUGCAUGCCAGGAUGUCUGAAGUCUCGGGAAUAAAAGGUGACAACCGUGUUCUGGAAGCAUUUAUGACCAAAAAUGGUGUUGUCUGAAUUUGUCAGUCCCUGUGACUGCUCUUCUGGCAUUUUCUGUCAUUCCUACUGUUGCACUGGGGUGAGUGAUCUGGUCUGGGCAGUAUCCCUAAAGGUAAGGGGCUGGAAUUAGGCCUGUGUUACAGAUGGCUGUGUGAGGUGUGGAAACUGAACUGUAAAACUCACACUAACUCUGCACAACCAGUUUAACACACAAAAGACUCCUAAUUCCAUUUGUCACUUACCUUCCCAGAGUUUGCCCAUGAAGAGAGAAGGGAGAGAAGCCCUAUAGCCAAGAGCCCUUUAAAGAACAUAAAUUGAAUUCCUACUCUGAAUUAGUCGCAAGGGGAAUGAACGUGGGAGAAGCCUGCUGGCCUCAUUAGGGCCUAAAGAUGAGUAGGUGAGGGCUGAUCCUUGUGCAGAUUCCCAUUUCUAAAGAGUUGUCCACAGUUACUUGUUUGGGAUCACAACAAAACAAAAUCAAUCCAGACUUGCAGGAUACCUUUCAGCUUUUUAUCUCUUUCCCUUCUCACAGCAUCUUGUGUCUCCUAAACUCACAUAUUCUGGAACAAGUGAGGCAAUGUUACACAUAAUCCUAAUGCAGCCCAGAUUCAUUUCCAGGGCAGCUUCAUUCUUUAUCCCAAAUAGGUAGAGGCAGGAAAAAACAGUAAAUGAACGGAAAAGAUUACCAUUUAAAUAUCAUAAACUAGACAUGUGAAAGCAUCUAUUUUAAUAUUGUUGUUUUAAAUUUACCAUUUUCUAACUGUUGAAUCUGGAUUUUCUUAUGUGAAUAUUCUUGUAGGGCAGCGAAUAAAUGCUGCAGGUUAACAGAGGAAAUAUCAAAAGGAGAAAGAUGUGAAAUGUGGACAUGAACCAGUCUUAGAUACAAGUCGUUUGAAAUCAAUGAUUUGUGGUGUCUGUAGCUCAGUAAAAAUGUGUCCUAGCUCAGGUUUUUGUUGCUGUAGGUCCCAUGAAGUUCCCAUGAUGUGAGAUUUCUCUGUGAAAGCCUCAGAGCCUGACCCUUCUGAACACGUGCAGAGAUGAGGCCUUUGCUGGUUUGUUCUGGUUUCUUUUCCUGUAGGUGAGGAUGAGGACGAGUCUGAGAAUUUCCUGCUCCCCCUCACAGUUUGAUUUAAGGCACCACUCAAAUACUCAGCAGUAGUUUUGAACAAGAAGAAACAAAGGCAGGUUUAUUUCUAUUGCAGGGGAAGAAACAAUGUGUGGAACGAGCUGAGAGUGGAGCAAACAUUCAGCAGCAGCCUGGCACCUCUGCACACCUGUGCAUGUGUGUGGCUGUCUGUUCCUGAGUACAUCUGUUUUAUUGGGAAUUCACACAGCACAGCUACAAAGGCUGUGAAUACUAUCCUAGAUAAACUUGGUACAAAGAUUUUCAAAGGCAUUGGGAUCUCUCCAGUGUUUUGCAGAUCAGGGGACCCCAUUUAAGGCUCAUUUAUAAUCAGAGACAGAUUUUUCUUCAGUGAUAGCUUAUCUGUUCCAUAUUCCCCUUUUCUAUGCAAGUAUCCUCUUUGUGUAUAUUAACAUAUUUAUUUGGGGGUAUGAGGAGACAUGUAACACACUUGAUAAAACACUGCUGGUUUAAAGUAUUUUUUUUCCAAACAAGAAUUUAUUAUAUAAAUCAAGACUUUAUUAAAUGGCUGGGCAUAUAUGUAUAAAUUGGAACGGGUCUUGAAGUAUUGCACCCUUAAACUGAACAAAGUGAUUAGGAUAACUGAUAGCUAAAUAAGGUUUUUAUGUGCCUGUGGGAGCCAUAUUAGGAUUGAUUUGACAAGGCAGUUCAGCUGUGGCAACAGUCAUAAUAUCUAACACAACAUUAUGUUUUAUUAGUAAAAUCCUUAAGUGUAGCAAGCUGUUUGUGUCAAAACAACAGUAUAUUUUAGGGAAGAAAAAGACUUACUGGAUACAAGGUGCAUCAUCAGGAAUGAUAAUAUAUUGGAGCACUCUUGCAUUAAAGAGAUCUUCUUCUGCCGUCACUGAAUCAAUAGUUAACUGCACACUGGAGUGCUCACUUCAGCUAAACAGGGUCAUUUUGAAGAAAUCCUAACAGUUAUUUUUAAUUUGCUGUUUUAAAAUAUGGUGGCAACUCAAAUACUGCUUCAUAAUAUUUAUCUGCUUUUUUCACAAGGAAAUAAACAGUUGUGCUGGAAGUAUUGGUAAAUAAUUGGCUGCAGUAUGUGGCUGACAGUACCAGAAGAU